rnacentral:sRNA from 1 species
UAACAACCGAAAGGAGGUGAUCCAGUGUCUCAUUGUCAGUUAUCGCAGUCGCCGGUUUCUGAGGCCUGGACUCUCGCUUAUGCGGAGUUCUGCACCGCGUGAGCGGUGCUCGUGUCAUGUCAGCUUAAUGUGACGUGGGUCCAACCGGCCGCGGUCGCGACAAUGGAAGGGCCAUCGAAAGAUGGCCCU